rnacentral:rRNA from 1 species
GUGAGGAAUCUUCCACAAUGGGCGAAAGCCUGAUGGAGCAACGCCGCGUGAAGGAUGAAGGUCUUCGGAUUGUAAACUUCUUUUAUGAGUGAAGAAUAUGACGGUAACUCAUGAAUAAGCACCGGCUAACUACGUGCCAGCAGCCGCGGUCAUACGUAGGGUGCAAGCAUUAUCCGGAGUGACUGGGCGUAAAGAGUUGCGUAGGCGGUUAUGUAAGCGAAUAGUGAAACCUGGUGGCUCAACCACACAGACUAUUAUUCGAACUGCAUAACUCGAGAAUGGUAGAGGUAACUGGAAUUUCUUGUGUAGGAGUGAAAUCCGUAGAUAUAAGAAGGAACACCAAUGGCGUAGGCAGGUUACUGGGCCAUUUCUGACGCUAAGGCACGAAAGCGUGGGGAGCAAACAGGAUUAGAUACCCCAGUAGUCC